GGGCUAGCUACCUGAGAGAAGGUACCUGAAGUGGAACAGAGCUUGGGAGCUCCAGCCUGGUAAACCCUCAGGCUACAGGCCUUGUUAAGGGCCCAAAAGUGAUGCUAAUGAGGAGUUCUAUGCAUAAAUCACUGCAUGCAUUGAUGGGAGAUGAGAUCCUGACGCCUACUUGCUUUCUUUACCCACUGAAAUGAGGGCCUGAUUUUCCCUCUUGUUUACACCAGCAUUACACCCAGGUAAUUCCGUUGACCUUAGUAGGGUUACUCCUGAUUUGCAUUGGCAUAAGUCAGAGGAGAACCAGGCCCAUUGUGCGAGAAUGGGGGACUUUUCACAGUGCUGCUAUGAUCACAAUCAUUCUCCAGACUAGCUUUUAGGCCCCUACUGAAAUGACUUGUUUCCUUUUUGGGGGCAGGCAGCAGUUUGGUUUGGUUUGUUUUUUUGUUUUGUUUUCUUUUUGUUGGUUGGUUGGUUGGUUGGUUUUGGUUUUUUACAG